AUGGUGCCAGCCCUACUGGUUCUACGCUGAACCAAGCUUGUUCCCACGCCAGUGGCUUCAUAAUGGUUCAGUCUGACCACACAUAUGCAGGACCAAGCACUGAAGCAAGCGCUUCAUCUCUGGAACCUGGCACGGCAGGGGUGGCCGCAACACUGUCAGCGAGUGCUGAUCUGUCACCAGGAGCUCCGUUCAGCAGUUCGCCUCUUUCUUAUGAAGGAUCUUUCACCAGCCCCAUCAAUGAAAGGCGGCCACUGCAGAAACUUCGAG
rnacentral:lncRNA from 1 species